rnacentral:rRNA from 1 species
UAGGGAAUCUUCGGCAAUGGGGGCAACCCUGACCGAGCAACGCCGCGUGAGUGAAGAAGGUUUUCGGAUCGUAAAGCUCUGUUGUAAGUCAAGAACGGGUGUGAGAGUGGAAAGUUCACACUGUGACGGUAGCUUACCAGAAAGGGACGGCUAACUACGUGCCAGCAGCCGCGGUAAUACGUAGGUCCCGAGCGUUGUCCGGAUUUAUUGGGCGUAAAGCGAGCGCAGGCGGUUUGAUAAGUCUGAAGUUAAAGGCUGUGGCUCAACCAUAGUUCGCUUUGGAAACUGUCAAACGUGAGUGCAGAAGGGGAGAGUGGAAUUCCAUGUGUAGCGGUGAAAUGCGUAGAUAUAUGGAGGAACACCGGUGGCGAAAGCGGCUCUCUGGUCUGAAACUGACGCUGAGGCUCGAAAGCGUGGGGAGCGAACAGG